UCAACAUUAGUGCAGUAGGCAGCAUGUCAGUCUCAUAAAGUGAAGGUCUUGAGUUCAAACCUCAAAAGGGGGA
rnacentral:tRNA from 1 species